UGUUGGGUAGGGGAGCGUUCUGUAAGCCUGCGAAGGUGUGCUGUGAGGCAUGCUGGAGGUAUCAGAAGUGCGAAUGCUGACAUAAGUAACGAUAAAGCGGGUGAAAAGCCCGCUCGCCGGAAGACCAAGGGUUCCUGUCCAACGUUAAUCGGGGCAGGGUGAGUCGACCCCUAAGGCGAGGCCGAAAGGCGUAGUCGAUGGGAAACAGGUUAAUAUUCCUGUACUUGGUGUUACUGCGAAGGGGGGACGGAGAAGGCUAUGUUGGCCGGGCGACGGUUGUCCCGGUUUAAGCGUGUAGGCUGGUUUUCCAGGCAAAUCCGGAAAAUCAAGGCUGAGGCGUGAUGACGAGGCACUACGGUGCUGAAGCAACAAAUGCCCUGCUUCCAGGAAAAGCCUCUAAGCAUCAGGUAACAUCAAAUCGUACCCCAAACCGACACAGGUGGUCAGGUAGAGAAUACCAAGGCGCUUGAGAGAACUCGGGUGAAGGAACUAGGCAAAAUGGUGCCGUAACUUCGGGAGAAGGCACGCUGAUAUGUAGGUGAAGUCCCUUGCGGAUGGAGCUGAAAUCAGUCGAAGAUACCAGCUGGCUGCAACUGUUUAUUAAAAACACAGCACUGUGCAAACACGAAAGUGGACGUAUACGGUGUGACGCCUGCCCGGUGCCGGAAGGUUAAUUGAUGGGGUCAGCGCAAGCGAAGCUCUUGAUCGAAGCCCCGGUAAACGGCGGCCGUAACUAUAACGGUCCUAAGGUAGCGAAAUUCCUUGUCGGGUAAGUUCCGACCUGCACGAAUGGCGUAAUGAUGGCCAGGCUGUCUCCACCCGAGACUCAGUGAAAUUGAACUCGCUGUGAAGAUGCAGUGUACCCGCGGCAAGACGGAAAGACCCCGUGAACCUUUACUAUAGCUUGACACUGAACAUUGAGCCUUGAUGUGUAGGAUAGGUGGGAGGCUUGGAAGUGUGGACGCCAGUCUGCAUGGAGCCGACCUUGAAAUACCACCCUUUAAUGUUUGAUGUUCUAACGUUGACCCGUAAUCCGGGUUGCGGACAGUGUCUGGUGGGUAGUUUGACUGGGGCGGUCUCCUCCUAAAGAGUAACGGAGGAGCACGAAGGUUGGCUAAUCCUGGUCGGACAUCAGGAGGUUAGUGCAAUGGCAUAAGCCAGCUUGACUGCGAGCGUGACGGCGCGAGCAGGUGCGAAAGCAGGUCAUAGUGAUCCGGUGGUUCUGAAUGGAAGGGCCAUCGCUCAACGGAUAAAAGGUACUCCGGGGAUAACAGGCUGAUACCGCCCAAGAGUUCAUAUCGACGGCGGUGUUUGGCACCUCGAUGUCGGCUCAUCACAUCCUGGGGCUGAAGUAGGUCCCAAGGGUAUGGCUGUUCGCCAUUUAAAGUGGUACGCGAGCUGGGUUUAGAACGUCGUGAGACAGUUCGGUCCCUAUCUGCCGUGGGCGCUGGAGAACUGAGGGGGGCUGCUCCUAGUACGAGAGGACCGGAGUGGACGCAUCACUGGUGUUCGGGUUGUCAUGCCAAUGGCACUGCCCGGUAGCUAAAUGCGGAAGAGAUAAGUGCUGAAAGCAUCUAAGCACGAAACUUGCCCCGAGAUGAGUUCUCCCUGACCCUUUAAGGGUCCUGAAGGAACGUUGAAGACGACGACGUUGAUAGGCCGGGUGUGUAAGCGCAGCGAUGCGUUGAGCUAACCGGUACUAAUGAACCGUGAGGCUUAACCUU
rnacentral:rRNA from 1 species